UACAGAGGGUGCUAGCGUUGUUCGGAAUUACUGGGCGUAAAGGGCUCGUAGGCGGCCAACUAAGUCAUACGUGAAAUCCCUCGGCUUAACCUGGGAACUGCGUUUAAUACUGCAUGACUUGAGUGCGAUAGAGGAGAGCGGAAUUCCUAGUGUAGGAGUGAAAUCCGUAGAUAUUAGGAGGAAUACCGAUGGCGAAGGCAGCUCUCUGGCUCGUAACUGACACUGAGAUUCGAAAGCGUGGGUAGCAAACAGG
rnacentral:rRNA from 1 species